rnacentral:rRNA from 1 species
AUUGAACGCUGGCGGCAUGCCUUACACAUGCAAGUCGAACGGCAGCACGGGAGCAAUCCUGGUGGCGAGUGGCGAACGGGUGAGUAAAGUAUCGGAACGUGCCCAGUCGUGGGGGAUAACGUAGCGAAAGUUACGCUAAUACCGCAUACGAUCUAUGGAUGAAAGCGGGGGAUCGCAAGACCUCGCGCGAACGGAGCGGCCGGUAUCAGAUUAGGUAGUUGGUGGGGUAAAGGCUCACCAAGCCGACGAUCUGUAGCUGGUCUGAGAGGACGACCAGCCACACUGGGACUGAGACACGGCCCAGACUCCUACGGGAGGCAGCAGUGGGGAAUUUUGGACAAUGGGCGAAAGCCUGAUCCAGCCAUGCCGCGUGCAGGAUGAAGGCCUUCGGGUUGUAAACUGCUUUUGUACGGAACGAAAAGGUUUGGCCUAAUAAGCUGAGCUCAUGACGGUACCGUAAGAAUAAGCACCGGCUAACUACGUGCCAGCCGCCGCAGUAA